CCUGGUUUAGACCUGGUUUAGACCUGGUUUAGACCUGGUUUAGUCCUGGUUUAGACCUGGUUUAGUCCUGGUUUAGACCUGGUUUAGACCUGGUUUAGUCCUGGUUUAGACCUGGUUUAGACCUGGUUUAGACCUGGUUUAGUCCUGGUUUAGUCCUGGUUUAGACCUGGUUUAGUCCUGGUUUAGUCCUGGUUUAGUCCUGGUUUAGACCUGGUUUAGACCUGGUUUAGACCUGGUUUAGUCCUGGUUUAGUCCUGGUUUAGACCUGGUUUAGUCCUGGUUUAGUCCUGGUUUAGACCUGGUUUAGUCCUGGUUUAGUCCUGCUUUAGACCUGGUUUAGACCUGGUUUAGACCUGUUUUAGUCCUGGUUUAGUCCUGGUUUAGACCUGGUUUAG
ensembl:lncRNA